ensembl:lncRNA
AACUAAAAUACUCUGUCAAGUGACUCUCAGGGUCUCACCCUCCUUUAGCUGGAACUGAAUGCCAUCUCAUGCUCCCAGACUCCAGCCACUCAGGGUGUGGGUGAUGACCCGCCCUGCACUGGGUUCUCAGGGUCACGGAUGGUCUCUGUCAUGGAAAGGUUUUUCUGGGCGGAGAAAAGGGUUGGGAUCUGAAAGAUGGGGUCCUCUGCCUGGCAGCAGGAAGGUGGACAAAGGCUGGUGCCCAGGCCUGCGUGGGCUGCGGUGCCAACCAGCCAUUAUCCCGGGGAUGGGGAUGGCGCCUGUCCCCACACCCAGGAGCGGGAUUGGCCCUUUCCUUCCUCCACCUCACGCCCACUUCUCUCUGCCCAUUCCCCUCCCACUAGAGCUGCGAGGCGCCCCAGGUUCAGCUGCCGCUCACCCCAAAAUCUUGUAAACAAUGGGAAGAAAGAAGAGGAGAAUGGAGUGGUUCAGGGAAGACAGCCAUGGAGAGGGAUGGGGGCCGAGUCCUGCCCUGUGCUCAGCCUGGCCUCUGUGAGAUGUUGCCAGGAGCAGAAACUCCUUAGGCAGCAGAGCAGCCAGACUUCUUACAGCCUCCCCAGGGGGACGUGGUGGGUGGAGAGGGCCUCUUGGAUCAGCUCAGAUUGGGAACUUUCCUUGGUAUUCCUUAAGCAUAAAAGGCUGCCUGCCAAGGUGCAAGGCAGAAGACGCAUCGCCUGCCUCACACAGCAGAGUUUUCCAUACUAGGGGUCACAGACCAUUAGUGGGUUGUGAAAUCAAUUUAGUGGUUUACAGGCAGCACUUUGAAACAAGAGCCCCAGUGUAUUGCUUACAGAAAGUGAGUUUUUCUUUUUUUCAAUUGUAUGUACAUGUAUCCAUACCUAUACUUACAUUAUAUCUAAAUAUCUGUACUGGCUGGUGAUGAAAAGUUUACUAGAUUUAUUUCUUGCCGUGGCUUUAGGGUCCCCCAAAAUUGAAAAACAUUGGCCUAGACUAGGACACCAGUGCUGGGCCCAGCUGGCCCUGGACGAGCCCAAAAAGACCAAACCCGCAGCUCAGGGCGUAUUUUGGCCUCGUGGAGCUGACAGCCCGGGAUAGGUGACUAUGUCAUUGGGCCCCGUCUCUCCUUGGUAGGAUGACAUUCGGGGGCCCCUGGAUGGGAAGGACUGUGACAGGAAAGCACCUUAGGGGACUCUGGAUGUAUCUCUAGCUGUCUAAAUGCUGCGGCUCUUCAUCAUGCAUGCGGCUAUUCAUGUUAGCUUCUGAGAUGCACAGACUGGAAAAAGAAAGCCAAGCAGAACCUGAAAGAACUGGUCAAUGGUGAGGCGGGAUGGGAAAACAGGGAUUUGUCAGGAAGUCAGCAGCAUUCUCGGCCAUGUUACUAUUUGAGCUUAGAGGAUGGGCAGGGACAAGCGCUCAUCUUUGCCAAAAGCACGAAAUCCAAGAUCAGCUGGAAGAGUCGGAGGUGCCAGAGAUGGGGACCCUCUUCCCGGCAGAUCAGACUCACAGGGCCCACUGGGAGACCAUUAGAGAAAGCACAAGGGUCUGGAGAGGGGGCCGGCCCUGCCAGAUUCCUCAGUCAAAGCAGGCACUUCUGCUGGCUGCCGGUUGCAUUCGAGAAAGAGGAAAGAGGGCAAGACUUUGAUCCUUCACUGCAGGAAUGCUUCUCAAAUUACUGAGGAUCAGAGAAUGGCGUCCAGAAUGCUAAGAGAGAGGAGAAAGAAUAUGAAUGUGUGUGUGUGUACACAUGAUGCUCCUGUGUGGCUUCUAGCGGUGACAGUGUUUGGCUGGGAAGAUGCGCUGUGUGGGGCAUCCCCGAAUCAGGGUGGUAGGAGAGCUACCCAGAGAGAUGGCACAUUUUACCAAGGAAAAAAUUGUAUGUAUUUAUUAGCACACUGCCUUGAAUAUAUACUACAUACUUCAUUAGAGUGAUUUCACAGAGAUUUCAGAAUUAUUUGUGCUUGUUAAUUGCUGUGGAAACCAGGAAGAGAGUAGUUCAAAGGGGUUGGUCCUCCAGGUGUGGAUAGCGGGUAGAAAUAACUGAAAUUGGGAUUCUAGCAUGGAAGCCCCUGCUUUCGAAACUUAAAGUAUGCAUUCUUCUUUGCUGCUUUCAAAACCCCCUUCAUUUCCCUGCUGACAGAGAACUUUCCCUCAUGUCCCUCCCUCCUCCCUUGUUCCGGCUUCUCAGUGCUACCCAUCUCCCCGGCCUUCAAUACACCAUGAAGAGGGUAGAAAAAUUAACUUGACCCAGAGAAGGGAUGGCUUCCGGGGUCAGUCUAGUCUGGGCUACUUCCCAGGCCUGGGCCUCAGGCGAUUGGAACUUGCAUUUACUUCCGGUUGGUAAUACCAAGAAUGGGUCUAAUGUGACUUGGAUCCAUUGCUGAGCUCAUGUAAGAUAGCAAAGGCCACCAGUGAGUGAGGUGUUUACUUCGUUAUUGUCAUUUCCAUCACCCCUGAGGACACCCUGAAGCAGCAGUGACAGGUGGCCAUUUCUCACAACCAGCACUUGUGAGCCCCCGUGUCGGCUGGCACUGUGCCUGGGUGGGGGAGGGCUGAAGCCACCACCUCUGCCUUUGAGAAGGCUCUGAUCUCGUCGGGGAAAGCAUGGAGACGUGGACUAGAGGACAAUGACAGCUAGGACGAGGCCAAGAAUGCCACUGUGUGAAACCUAAUGUCACCGCUAUUGGCACUUUAAAAUGGGGUGCAUUUUGAAGAUUAAAUUUCUGUGUUGACGGGGAAAACUUUUUGAGACCCUGGGGAACAUCCUUCCAGAUGCUUUAACAACUUUCACAGUGUGGACUUGAGUCAAUGAAACUAUUCCUUACGGGCAAAGAUUCCCGAGAAGACUAGUACUUGCCAGAAACCAGCUGGGCAACAGUGGCACUUUUUAAACUAAAUUAAAAAAAAAUUGAGACAAUCGUGCUUGCCAUCUUUCCCUCUGAUACUCGGUGGUAACUAUGGAAGGACUCAACCAGUGGUUUGGGUCUGUGGUUCCCAAAUUCUGUUCCGGGGUGCCCCAGGGCACUGUGACGGACUCACAAGAGUGCCACGGAAUAUUGAAAGAUUUUCAAAGCGAACACAGUGACAUCUGCCAGGCACCACGCUAUUAAGUUGUUUUGACCUAACUGCCUAUUAAUGGAACUAUCAGGCAUUUCUUUCAGCCCAGGAGUACUGCAAAGCAGUCUUGGGACUCUCAGGGCACUUUGAGCUGAGAAUGUUCGGCAACUCUUUACGGAUUUAGUGUGGUGUCACCGCCUACCCAAUCUGAUGGACACCAGGCAAUAUGCCCGCUCACAGACGUGCCUUCUGCGUAUCCCCUCCUCAGGCUUGUCAUUGGCCAGUUCCUUUGAACUUGCCAUUGCCAAUCUCUUUCUGUAAAAUAGUUGAAUGUUUGGCGUGAGCUUGAUCUUGAUUCACAGCACCCACCUAUAGUUUGGCCCCAGAGGCAGCCAAAACUCACGCCUUUUGGGCUAAGAACGAUCCAGUGAGUCAGUGGCUGUGGUAGAGGCUGUGAGUUUUCAUCCUUGGGGCUGGCCCUCAAACGAUGCACAAAGGUUGCCUUUAGGCCGUCUGAUAAUGGCACCCGCCAACUUCUCCUCCUGGACCGUAUCACAUUCUUCCCUGAAGGUGCCAGCUGGAUCUCUGCUGACCCCCUUCCUCUCUCCCAUCGCCUUCCCCUGCAGGCCCUGAAGAAGCCUCUCCCCCUCUGUGCUCCCCUGUGGAUUCUGCUGUCCCCGGGGCUUCACUCAACGGUUGCCUUCAACUGCCAUCGGAAUUUUCUCUCUCUAAAAUUCUCGGAGGUUGGUGCUCUGGCCCUGCUGCCGGGAGGGCUAUCAGGCCUCAAGGAUGUGGUCCAGACCUUUGUGUGGGGACACAGCAGCUGGCACACUGGGGAUGCUCAGUGAACGUGUGAUGAAUCAACUUAGUAACUGAAUUCUCAGCACGGGUUCUGGGCCAGCCACACCUGCCUGUGAGACACUCUUGUCACUGCCUGACUGUUUUCCAGGGGCUCUCCCUGCCUUAGUUGAAGAGAAACUUGGUAUGGGAGCCUUGGCAGGCCCAGCAGAGGAGGUUUGUGGCUGGAGGACUUUGGCCCCCUCCUAUGGCCUCUCUCCUGUCCCACUGAGUUGUGCCUAUUCAUUGCCAAGGUUCUUGUGUCUUUUUGGGCAGGUGGCUGGGUGCGCACAACCCACAGAGAUGGGGCAGGGCUAUAUGGGGAUUUAUGUGCAGAAUUUAAUAACCUUUUGCCCUUCUCCUGGGCACCGGGAGAGAAGACUGGAUGUCUCUGAGGUAGAGGUGUCCACACCCCUUCCCUACCCGGGGGCCCUGCCUCCCAAGGCUUGGUGCUUCCUUGUUCCUAUGACUCCGAGACCGUCAGAGGCUGGAGAGGGGUGCACUGGGAGGGGGCUGGAGAAGAGGCCUCCCCUGCCUUUGACACCUGGACUGCUCAGUGCUGCCAUCCACUCUGUGUCAGCAUCGAGAGGGUGUUUUAGAGAUGGAAAAAGGCCCUGAUCUUUUCCAUUUUUUGAGUACCUUGAAUAUUAAAAAAAAAAAGAAAAAUGCCAAAAAUGGGUACAAAAAAUUGUAGGUUGUACAGUCUAUUUAAUUGCUGAAUAAAUGAAUGCUUUUUAACACAUAAAAGUAUAAUUAGGCUGGAUAGACCCUCCUUUGGAGGGAAGGCCUGUGGUUUGAGGCCCUUUGUGAAUGAGGUUCAGGACACGUGGCCCUCCUGGUGCUCUGCUCCUCUUCAUCCCCCACGUUAGGUCCAGGCAUCAUUGGGGGCUCUCCUGCCAGUGGGCUCAGGAUCCCACUUUCCUGGUGGACCCAGGCUCUCAGACCAACUCUGUGUCCCUGGGCAGGGGAGUAGAGCCCUCAGGCUGGCCUGGCUCGGCCUGUCACUGGCAGGGUCUCUUUGCUGGUUGGGAUCAACAGGAGGCCAAGGGAACACUCCAGGCAGUGCCUGGGUCACGGCGCCCUCCUCCUAGGUGGGGCCCAUCACUGGGGUCUCCAGGGCCUUGGUUACACACGGGCAAAGGAACCCCUAUAGCUCCCACUCAGGCCUUCUGUGCUUUCAGACCUAAGCAACAGCUCCACCACCGGGGGCGAACUUUCUGCUGGUUUCUUUGUGAUGGUAGCAGCUGUUGGCUCACUCCUCACGUGCCUAUGUUGGCUGGGCAUUGUGAUAAGAGCUGAGAAUGUGGUGAGGGUUAUUCCCAGUGGCUGUCCUAGAGGGGUUGACCAUUGACAUGGGAGAAAAGCACAAGAGCAUUGGUCACGUCCAUGUAACCGAGGGAGCGCUCUGCUCUGGUGGUGACAGAAUCCCAGAAGAGGGCUGCCCACAGGGGCCUAAGUUCCUGUGGGCUUCUGGAGCAGAGGGAGCCUGAGCUGAAUCCCAUGAAGAUAGGACUUAGCCAGGCCGGGAGUGGGUGGUGAGAGAAUUUAAGCGAUGGGGGCACCAGUGUGGGCAAAGGCACAAAGGUUAACAGGGCGAGGGGGAGAAAGGGGGGAACUGAGUAUCGAGGAAACAAGUGGGAGGUGGGUGUGGAGAGGGAUGGGGAGGCAGAGACAGUGAGCAGCAGGGCAGCACAAGGGUCAGACGGACGUUUGGAUGGAACUCUUUGGCUGCAGUCUGUGGGGGACAGAUCCAAGUGAGGUUAAGAGUAGGGCAAGAGUGCGGGCGGCUGCAAUGGACCGGGCAGGAGAUAGACGCUGAGCGUGGAGGACGGGAGGUGGGCUCGAGCGGAGGGAAUGAGUGAUUGCACGUGUAGGGGUGGCCCUGGGUACAUGCCACCAAAUAAGAAAGGAACAGAGUUGCAAGGUGGGGGUGACCAUGGCGAUGUCUCUGUGGCCUCAGGGGAAAUGGAAAGGAAGGUGUCCAUGGCUCCUGACUGGGCUAGGCUGUUGGACAUCAGCAUUCACGAGGCUUCUGUGAUCAGAGCUGAUGGGAGAUGCAGCCCAGGGAGGGUGGGGGGAGCGGUGGGCGAGGAGGGAUCCCUGGAGACAAAUGUGUAAGGGACAGGACCGAGGAGCCAGAUGAGGCAGAGAGAGCCAGGCAGGGGAGAGAGGAGAGUUUGGCAGAGAACCCAGAGAGUGAGGUGGGAGGGCUGUCCCCCACCAGCCUGUGAAGGAACUCCUGGAGGGCAGUGAUGUCCCCUAUGGUACCCAACAUGUCUGACAUACAGUAGGUACGAAAUUAAUGUUAUUAAAUCAUUGAGCACAAAUGCGGCACAGAGGCCAGUAAAAGGAGGGCUGAAAACGUCCAGUGGAUUUGGCAAUAAGGGUGGGGCAUUCCCCCAGGGAAAGGUAGGAGCGGGACCUAGAUUUCAGCGGAGCGAGGGAGGGAGCAGGCUGCUUUCUGGGUGGGGUUGGGUAGGGUAGGGAGGUGAGGAAAGAGAAGACAGAAAGUCCCUUUAUUCUGUUUAGAAGUUUGACCAAGACAGGAAGGAGAGAAAGUGCCAGACUCAUGAUUGGAGCAUUUUUAAAAAAUUAAAAAUAUCUUUUACUGCUCCAUCCCACCCACAUUAAGGAAAAAAUCCCACAUGCCUUAUAGAAAAGCUAGGAGAUACGUCUAAGGAAGAAGAAAAUAAAAAUAACCCGUAAUUCUACCCAUUGGAAAUAUAUACUGUUAAACCUGGAGUAACUUCCUUCCAGACUUUUGUUUUUGUUUUUUAGUAGAAAUAGUAUCACGCAGUACAUUCUUACUUUGCAAAGUAUCUUUUUCACUUAAUAUUUCUUGAAUACCUUUUUCUGUCCAAGCUACUAUUCUUCCAAAACAUCCUUUAAAGUUUUACCUACCUGUCUACCUGAUAGCUAAGAUUCAGAGGAUUCAAAAUGCAACAGGUACACACGAGCAUUCUGUGAAAAGUUGCCUGUCUCUGACCCACCCAGUUCUUGUCCCUGAAGCCAACUGGUAUUACAACACCCACUUGGGUGGUUAGAUAAUAUUCCCAUGCGUGACUGUUCCGAAAUUUAUUUAAAUAACUUCCCUGUCUUGGAUAUUUCGAUGCUAUUUAGUUUUAUUUUUCUAUUGUACAUGAGGCCAAGAUGAAUAUCCUUCUAGCAGAAUAUUUGUAUACAUACCUUAUUUUCUUAGAAUAAGUUUCUAAAAGUGGAAUUUCUGGGUCAGAAGGCAGAACAAAUUCAAAGUAAAAAUUGCCAUUCCAGAUUUUACCUUCAAGGAAAUUAACGUCAACUGACACUCCCACAGCAAAGCGUGAGAGUGUUUCCAGCCCCAACAGGCCCUCAGCUUGUGUUAUUAAAACUCAUUUCCUCCAACUGUGCCAACCUAGUGGGUGAAAGAUGGGGGUGAGCACCUCUAACCCUUGCUGUGAGUUGUAUUUUAAGAGAAACAAAUGGCACUUUGGGGGACAAAUGGGGAUUGGAUGUGGAGAGGGCAGCUCUGAGACUGGGAAGGACAAUAUCCAGCUGUGGGGCGAGGUGGCUGCAUUGUCAGUGAGGACCAAGCCUGGGGACAAGGCCCUUCUUCAUUUUCAGAGUAACCGCCAGCCGUGAGAAACGUAGGGGCCUCGAAAGAACCAGAACCUGUAGGCGAGGUCCAGGGAUAAUUGGUACCCAGGCUGAAGUAUUGUUUGCUUUUCCCCUUUUAAGAGGCAGCCCUGUGGGUUCUUUACUGACAGCUUCCCGAUGCGCUGGGAGGGGUUCCAGGAACAGGGACGGGGGAUGGUCUCUCAAGAGCAAAAUCCACCUCUCCCUAGACUUCGCCCCAGGCACAGGCGUAGCGGUGAGAGUCUGGGUCCUUGUGCCCUCAGCUGUAGGGCUGCCUGACUCCUGAUUGGGGAAGGGAGGCUGAGCUCUGCUUGCAACACGUGCCAGCUGAGAGGGGAGACAGGAACACCGUGGAAAUCUGUUGCCCCCUCAGUCAUAAAUCCCAGGUCUUGCAAAGUGGGAGGGUAAACCUGGAUGUCGGGACGGGCAGGCUAUUCCCUCCACAUUCACCCUCCCUUUGGGACUCUCAAAAGUUCUUGCUCUCACCAUGCAGCCCUCAAGGGGAGCUGCUUUUCUUUGGCUUUUUUGCACACUGCGGACUCUAUAGACGAUUCUCUAGACUUUUUAGAGAUUUUUCCCUAAGAAAAACAAAAAAGAGAAACAAACAAGACAGUUUGAUUUACAGUAUGUAUUUACUCAUUUUUGGGCUAGGAUUGCCCGAGGUCACCCUGCAUUGCUUCCAGUCUGACUCCAAGAUUGGGAGGCCAGAUUUAACCCCUACCCCCAGGAGCACCUUCCGGGACUAGAAGCUUCCUAGAAAUUCACAUCCUAGAGAGCUGGCCCAAGAGUGAAAUGAGAGUCCCCACUCACCAUGAAUUUGGAGUUGGAUCUGCUAUAGCUCGGUUCUUCCUCAGUUAUGACUUCUUACUGGUUAUUCUUUUCAAAUAUUGUUUCUCUCCAAGGCCUUGUUUUGGUCUCAGGGGUCAUUUGCAGAGCCUGAAUUCCAGCUAGAUUCUUUAUUGGUCUCUGUUAGUUUCCUGGGGCUGUUGUUACAAAGGACCACGAGCUGCGUGGCUUAAAACAACAGAAACUUAUUGUCUCACAGUUCUAGAGAUCAGAAGUCUGAAAUCGAGGUGUCAGCAGGGUCGAUUCCUCCUGGAGGCUCGGAGGGAGUAUCCCUUCCCUGCCUCUCUCCUCGCUUCUGGUGGUUGCUGGCCAUCCUUUGUCUUCUUUGGCUUGGAGAAGCAUCACUCCACCCUCUGUCUCCACCUACACAUGGUGUUCUCCUCUCUGUACGCAUCUUUGUGUGUCCUCUCCUCUUCUUUUAAGGACACCAGGCAUUAGAUUUAGAGCCCACCCUAAGCCAGUAUGACCUCAUCUUAACUAAUUACAUGUGCAAAGGCUCUAUUUCCAAAUAAGGUCACGUUCUGAGAUUCUGGCUGGACAUGAAUUUUUGAGGGUCACCAUUAAACCCACUACAGUGUUUCUGCCUUCAGACACUUUCACCCACCAAUCCAAUCCUAUGUACCCUGUUGGAGCCAUUUUUCUCAAAGAAUGCUUAGCAGAAGUACCUCACCUUGCCUCAAAAUCCUUCAAUGACUUCCCACUGCCAACAGAAUAAAGUCCUAUCUCUUUAGCUCAGCUUUAGAAGGCUCCCCAUAGUCUGGUCCGAACAAUUUUUUCACAUUCCAUUUCUCUACUCUUCUACACACACCCUCCAAUCACAUUUGAAAGAUCUUCGACAUUGUUGAACGUGUUGUAAGCACUCUCAUCUCCUGCCCCAUCUCUGUUUCUUGACUAGAUGCCCUCCUUCUCAAACACCCGUGUCGUAUCAUACCUUUCCUCUCUCAUGAGAACAUUUCCAGCCAGCCAAGGUCGAAGGCUGCUCUUUGCUCACAGACCAACUUGACUCCACACUCUUCACCACUCCUCAGUCUGGAGGGAUGCUAUUCUCUGCUGGAGUCAAACUUUUACCCAAGAAUGAGCCUGUGUCUUAAACUUCUUUGGGUCCUUGGAUAUGAAAGUGGUGUAUUGAAUCAUGUGGCUUCAUGGUAAAUGAUUGUGGCUGCUGCUGCUGGUGUGAGUAUAUGAGGGGGUUGAUUUGGACCUGAAGUGAUGAGGACUAUCAUUUUUCAUUGCAUUAACGGAAUCACUCCAUGCCUAGAGCCCCACGAUGUCUACAGCAAAUGAAGAGCCCUGUGCUGAGAUGAAAUGAGGGCAAAGGAGAGAAUGCUUGCUGCUUUGAGAAUCAGGGGCAGCGAUCUUUCAAAGGAAGAGUGAAUGGGCAGAAUUGCUGCAGGAGAAGCGAAUCCUCCAGACCAGAUGCUGAGGGGCAGUGGGCUCAGUGGGAAAAUUGUAACCAUAUCCGAGGGGAAGCCCUGCCCCCAUCCUCCUGGAAGGACAAUUGGCGUGAGCAACAUGGCUGGCAGGGGUACGGCAGGGGAGGGAGGUAAAUGAGGGGACAUAUAGUGCAAUGAACGGAUUAGAUAUCAACACCUUGCACUAUCAGCUUUAAUAGAUGCUCUGAAAACUUGGAAGUAACAAGGACAUUUUUAUUCCAAAGAUUGUCAUUAGUGUCUUUUGCUAGCCCCUCCUAAGUGGCAGUGGUUGACCAUUGGCAACUGACUCUUCAAACUCUUCUCCAAAGCAGUGCAAGGAACUUAGUUCAUCUGGAUGCAGGUUUAUUCCAAACUUUCUUGCCUUGUGUGCUCUGUCCUUCCCCUCUGAUUAUGCUUCAGCCACAUCAAAGCCCCAUAGGCAUUGCCCUGGGGGAUCAAGAAGCGGUCCACCCAACAAAGAAGAGUAGAGGUACGAAGAAUCAGGGUGAGAAUUCUGGGCAGAUGCUCAAGGUGUGGGCUCCAGGCUGAGCCCAUGGACAUGUGACAUAAUACAUUUCAGAUAUGCCAGGACAAGUUUCCAGUGUCAAAAUCUUUGAAGCCAUCAGGUCUCUUUCUUGCUGAGUCUUGGUAAUAUUCCUUGUGUCAUAGAUUUAGAAAGUCAAGCUAAAGAAACACCUGAGGAAGAAUGCCUAUUUCUGGACUGUUUACGGACAGUUUGCAAUGGUGGCUCUGAUCCUUGCUCAAUUGACUCAUAGCUCUACAUGCACGGUCUUGCCUGGCUAGAUUCAUAAAAUAUUAUAGAAACAGGCCACCCUUAACUCCAUUAAAAACUUAUAGUUUCUUAGACAUUCCAUCUAAAUGGUUUGCCAGUUUUCCUCUUCAUAAAUUGCCAAUUUGGGUAUUUCAGCAGUCAAUAUUCAACACAAAAGGAAGAAUUUAGUCAAAUUUCUUUUGUCAGUAAGUCUUCUGUGUGACGUAUUUGUUUCCAGGUCCUAAUGACAAUUCUGCUCAGGUUCAAACAAAACAAAACCCCAAAACCAAGCAUACGAAAAGGAAUGAUUCAAGUUUGAGUUAGUCCUAUCCAUCCACAUAAAGACUAUACAUGAGUGUGACACGUUUUGAGAAUAAGGAAGGGGAGAGGAGACAUGAGGAAAUGGAUGCCUUGUUCAUGAUCCUGCGCUUAAGCAGUGAUUUUUCUCUACCACUCUGUGUUACUAGAAUUUUCCAACCACCUCUGACAAAAGGAGAGUACAAAGAACACUUGACACAAAGUAAAACGUGAAAAGAUCUUUCAGUGGUUCAGCGUCCUGGCUAUGAUUCAGAAUUAUCCAUUAGAUUAAAAAAAAUAUGCAUGUCCAGGUAUGCUCCAUAGCUCAGUCUGGCGCCAUUGUCCAAUAUCAGAAGGUUAGAGAAGAUGUGGUCAAUUAAUAUAACUCUUCUUGCCAUUUGCUGUCUCCAUUGAGGGACUCUGGGUUGGUCCAACUCUAGUCUAACUUCUGAAACAUCAAGGAUUCUAGGUAGUUGCUUCUGUGUUUCUUUUUCCAACUAGACAGUGAAUUCCUUGAGGGAAAGGAUGAUGUCCAUUUGGCUUUGCAUCUGCAAGGAAGCAGCUCAGUAGCACAUAAGAACACUCUGGUACAUUCUUUUCGAAUGACAGUGGUUUAAAAACAGCAAGGUCCUGUGUAAAGGUAGGAUGUUAUGCUCCUGAUUUCCUUCAGAGUAUAUAAAUAUUUGAUAUGAGGUUGCACCAGGAUUGGGAUUCUGACUCAUAGCAGUGCUGGUACCCAGGGAUCCAUAACUUAGAGACAGAAGAGAUGGAGCUCUGGUGGAAAGGGUGGAGCCAAUGGGAAAUUGUGGUGUGGGUGUUAGGGAUGGAGGGUGAAUUAGUUUCCUACUGCUGCUGUAAUAAGUUACGACAAGAUGAGGGGGUGAAAACAACACAAAUUGUCUUAAUGUUCUGCAGGUGAGAAGUUCAAAGUGGGUCCCACUGGGCUAAAAUCCAGACAUUGGCAAGACUGUGUUCCUUCAGGAGGCUUUAGGGGAGAACAGUCGUCUUGCCUUUUCCCAUUUCUAGUGGCCAUCUGCAUCCUUUGGCUCAUCGUCCCUUCCUCCAUCUUCAAAGCAGCAUCUUCAAAUCUCUGCCUCUGACACUGACCCUCCUGCCUCCCUCUUUCACUUAUAAGGACCCUUAAGAUUACACUGGGCUCACUCGGAUAAUCCAGGAUAAACUCCCCAUCUCAAGGUUACCUGAUUGGUUGCCUAAUUCCAUCUGCAACCUUAAUUCCCCCUUGCCAGGUAACAUAACAUAUUCACAGGUUCUGGGGAGCAGGAAAUGGACAUCUUUGGGUGUGGGGGGAGAAGUAUUCUUCUACCACAGAAGGACACUUGGACAUUAUGGAGUCCAGUGUCCUCAUUCUACACGUGAGGAAACUCAGGUUCACAGGGUUUCUGUGAAUUCCAACUGUUUCCUCCACAGGAGAGUAAAUUCCUUCUGAGACCAUCUGUACGUAGAACCCUAAGCAAGAUUCAGCAGGAGGCUGCUGGCUUCCUCUUUCUGCAGUUCUUCCUUCUACACCUGUGCCUCGUGGCUUUCCCGCCCCAUUCAGGGAGGGAUGCCGAAGGGUGUGUUGGGGGGCACAUCUCACCCACAUUCAGACUGAACGGAGAGUAGCCAUUGUAUGGAGUCAGAGAAUGGAUUGGAUCCAUCUCCAAGGACCUUAUUGUUUUGGCAGAAGCACAAACUCUUAGAAAUGCUGCAAGUGCCCAGUUAGGGACACUGAGCUCAGUGACGAGGGGACCCAAGAGUCUGAAAUCCUGGAAUUUCUCCCCAAGGAGGUCCAUGAAGGGGAACUACAGGGUGAGCACCAGCUGGUUGGUUCACAACCGACAGUGACGCUUGCUGCCUGGGCAGCUGCUGUGGGUUUCUCAGUCUGAGACCCUGUCGGACCAGGGCUGGCUCCUGGCAAAAGAGGGUUUCAGCUGCUGGGUUUCCUUUGAGGAGAUGCUGGUGAUUCUGGUCUCAGAGCCCAAGUUUAAGGCAGCAGGUGGUCCAGUAGGUACAACAGCAGCUCUCCUGUCAAAGUCAGGGCCAGAGGAGAAGACACAGGAAGACUUACUGCGCGAAACUUCUACCUGGAAAGAGUAAACUAUGGUCUGGGAGAGCAGAUGCCCAAGGGAGGGGUCAGGUCUCAUUCCUAAAGUCCCCUCCUUCCACAUCACUCCAUCUAGGUAGCUGCUGAGCCCUUUACACUCACCACUGUACCUAGAGCAAGAAACCAAUGAGAACCUGGCCUCUGGCCAUGGACACAAGGGCCUAGGAUCUUGCUUGGAAAGUGAAUUCCUCAGAACUCUGAGAUGCAGCCAGUUUUGGGAGGAAGAUGAGGCGCUGAGGAGAAACAGUAGGGAUCACUGAGGAAGGCAGCCCUGGCCUCUGGAGGAGGCUCACGUGGCUCUGUGAAGCACACAGGGGCUACCUGUAAAAUGACCCAUGACCACCCUUUCUUCUUCUCUGGAGGCUCUUGACAGAGUGACUGGGUCCCACCUCAGAGAGCUACCGCAGUAUAGUACUGCACAAUGCCCCUUCUUCCCCAGCAACUGACUGGGGGAGAGAAGAACCCUGACCCCCAGGGAUGGACAGUGAAAAGCAAAUCAAGGUGUCUACCAGCCAGGUCCAGACUCCAGGCAAAUGUCAUUGGAAAGUAGCCAGCAUGGAGAUCCCACAGUACCCCUCCCUCUAGUAUUCUGAUAUUCUCUGGAGCUGGGAAGCUGGCAAAAAAAAUAAAUAAAUAAAUAAAUAAUCAAGAUUUUAAAGUUUCAAUGGAUUGUUUUCUGUUUCUUUCUACAUUCUCUCCACAUCCUCUCUGGUGGAAGCCCGCCUGUUUUCCUAGCAUCACUGAAGAAUAUGGCGGCCUCCAUUCCAGCUUGAGGUCUGCCCCUUCCUAGGCAGCCGUGAGCUUUCAGUUGAGACACUUGGCAUCCGUUAAAAGGAGAAUAAUAAAAAACGUCAUAGCCAUCUCACUGGCUAUUUCUUCCAGUUGGUGGGAUAGUGCCUGUAAAAAUGUUUUAAAAACAGAGGAAGUGGCAAAUUGGCCUCCAUGAUAAACAGAACUUGAUGCCACAUUUUCUAAAAGUUAAAAUCUCAAUGAACAGAGCAACCCCUAGUGUUUUAUUUCUCGGGGCAAAUGCUGUGUUGCAUUUACGCAUCUGCAAUGUUUUACCAAGAUCCAAGGGGGGUUGUUAUCUUAAUUAACAGGGAGUCUUUCGUUUAUAUAUAGAACUUUUAAUGUAUUUGGAGCUUUUAAUAGAUUUGCAUCUUGCAACUUAUAGUAUCUCACCCCCUGAAGGAGGUAGGGUGCACAUGGUGGAGCAGCUGAUCCUUAAAUUCCAGCCCCUCCCCAUUCUCCCCUCAACCCUGGGCUGCUGGGUGCUCCUUUGAGUGUAGGAGGUGUCAGAGGUACAGGAAGUACAGCUCCUGGGCCUCUGAUGGCUGCGGGGGAGGAUGACUUUAGGGUCUCAUUCAAAAACUGGCCAUGAGCCCAGCCUGGCACGGGAUCUCUGUCUCUGAGUUAAUGGUGUGGGGGCUCCCAGCAGUGGUUGACCCAAUGGACCAACUCCAUUGUAGGAAAUGUAGGCUCUGCUUCUAUAGUGUCCCAAAUGGGGUGUGGGGUGACAAUGUGGAAGUGACAGUGGUUGAAACAACUCCUACCCUUCAACCCCUAGGGUUGCCUUGGACAGAGGCCAAAGGAAGGAGAUAGGAAUACACAGGGAUUUGUGCUUUGUAUUUUUUUUUUUCAUUGAGAAGGGGGAAUUGUGAGGGAGAAUAAAAAAGGCUGUGGAAAAGGAAGGCUUGUUUGUUUUAAGGGAAAUUAGAGUGGGAUCAGGAAAGACAGUCCUUCCAAAUGAUAUUUAGUUAACACUGGGGCUCUGGGGUGAUAAUGGCUAUUGUUUUUGAGUUCUUAUUAUCUACCUGGCACUGGCUAGGUUCUCCAAUUGGGUAUGGACUUCUCAAGUCACAAACCCCACUGUAGAUGAAAUACCUUCUAUGACUCAAUUUCUAUUCAGGGUUCACAUUUCAUCCAAUAGUAGAAACUUAAUCAAUUCAAGAUAAUUCAGCCAAUCUCAGUUUUCUUAGCAUGCUUGGGAGUUGGCAAAUUUAUUCUUUCCCCAGGGAGUUGCAUCUAAGAUCUGGGGACCUUAACAGACAUUGAGGGGGAGGGGGUGAUUGUGGGAGAGUGGUGGUCUUGAGAGCUAGUCUCCUUGGAUCCUAACCCUGACAAGUUUUGGGGCCUGUGGGACUUCUCCCAGCCACUUGUGUGUGUGUCAUCUCAGCUUCUCUCUCCUGAACCCCCAGGAGGCUGCAGGUCCUCUGGGCCCAUUUCAGCCCUGUGACAGCUUUGCCUUUGGCCGCCUUCCUUUACAGGCGCAUGAGCAAGUUCUUGGGCCUCGCAGCUUGUCUGGGCCCCUCUGAGCCAGCGUGGGCUUCAGAGGCACUCUGCACAGUCCUGCUGUGUUGCUUUCUUCCCAGCCUAGAUGCUGGCCUUUCCCUGGGAACACCUCCCUCUCCGAGGUGCAGGUGUGGAAGUAGGAACAGGGAUGCUCGAGCAAGUCUUCCUCCAAACCCACUUUUAUGCCAGGACUUGGCCUUCCAAUCCUCUCCAAAGACACUGGCUGGUUUCUCUUUGCAUCUCGGCUAGAACAACCUGGCCCUGAAGGCAGGGAGUGGAUGCUGCCCGGACCAAGAGGAGGAGCAGUUAAGACACACGGGCACAUGUUUUAAAGUCUUGUGAUGCCUGCUUGUUCUCUCUGCUUCAACUAUUCUGAAGUAUUUGCUGCAUCCCCAUUCUGUGACUACAAGGCUGAGACACAUCCGGAGGGAUGUUUUUGGUCCCCUAUCAUGAGGUGGGAAGUGGCAGAGGUGGGGUCCAGAGUUAGGAUCUUUUCACUCCAGCUCCCAGUCUGUCCUCUCUACCAAGCCCUGAUCUCUAAAAUGAAAGCCCUCAUCAGCGUGUUCUGUUUCAGGGGCAACAUCGCUCUGCCUUGAGCCUUUCCUCAUUCUUCAGAGCAUUAUUUACAAUAGCCAAGAUAUGGAAGCAAGCAAGGUGUCCAUGGAUAGAUGACUGGAUAAAGAAGAUGUGGUACAUAUACACGAUGGAAUAUUACUCCGCCAUGAAAAAUAACGAAAUCUUGCCAUUUGAAACAACAUGGAUGGACCUAGAGGGUAUUAUGCUAAGUGAAAUAAGUCAGACAGAGAAAGACCAAUACCAUAUGGUUGCACUUAUAUGUGGGAUCUAAAAAAUAAAAGACAUAAACAAGACAAAACAGAAACUCAUAAAUACAAAGAACCUCCUGGUGGUUGCCAGAGGGAAGAAGGUGGGUGAUGGGCAAAACAGGUGAAGGAGAUUAAGAGGCACAAACUUCCAGUUAUAAAAUAAAUACGUCAUGGGGAUGUAAUGUACAGCAAAGGGAAUAUAGUCAAUAAUACUGUAAUUACUUUGUGUGGUGACAGAUGGUAACUAGACUUAUCAUGGUCAUCACUUUAUAACAUACAUAAAUGUCGAAUCAGUAUGUUGUGCACGUGAAACUAGUAUAAUAUUGUAUGUCAAGUAUGCUUCAAUAAAAAAAAGUAGAGCCAGCCACCAUGGCCUAGCGGUUAAAUUCAGUUCCCAGGCAUGGACAUACACCACUCAUCUGUCAAUGGCCAUGCUGUGGUGGUGGCUCACAUAGAAAAAAAGGAAGGAUUGGUAGCAGAUGUUAGCUCAGGGCAAAUCUUCCGAGCAAAAAAAAAAAAAAAAUGGUAAAUUUAAUGAGUACGUUUUAAGAAAAGCAAUUCUCCAGAUUUCUGUAAGAAUUUUCUUAACACGCCUCAAAGGAUCCAGAAGUCCCAGAAGUCCUCAGUCUGCAUCCUCUGAUUAGACUCGCUCUUCCUGAAGCAGCAGUGCUCAAGUUCAUAAAUGAUUUCCUACCCAGUUCUGUUGUGUUGUGAUUUAGUUACUACCUUCCAUGAUUAUUUCCUACUCUUCAAAUGCAUUGUUAUAUUAUUAGUUUCAUAGGUUUCUGUGGGCUAAACUUGGAACCUUACCACAACCGAUUGCAUUAUUUCUUUAGAAGUGUGUUUCGAGUUCCUUAUCCAAUGUCUAGAUGUCUUUUUAGGACUCAUUCUUUUCAGCGGGAAACUUCUUAUGUUUUGAUAUUAAAUUUAGGCAAAUUUUCUCUCUGGCAAACAAUUUGAGAAAAAUGUGGUAUCUUUAUUAUUUUAGCCUAAGAGUUUAGCUCCUGCAAUAGUAUGUACUACUCAAAAAUGCAGGCACGAAGUUUAUAGAGCAGGGAGGAUUAUUAAGAAAAACAGACUAAGAGAAAUGGACAUCUUUCCCCAUCCUCAUCCCAGGAAAGAGAGGCUGGCGCCAUUGGGUUUCUUUAUUAAUGUUUAUUUCCCUUUCCUAAGAUUUCUCUCCGUUAGUGAUUAUUUGCAUGUGUAUCAUAAGGAAGGCCAAAGGGAUUGAAUGAACCUGUGUCCCUUAGUGGCAGAUAGAAUAAAUCAACUUUCAGCAAGUGGUCAGGUCAAGCUGCAGGCCCUUGGGUCUCUAAGGCCCCUGAGAGGAUGAUAGCUGAUGUCUAAGGGGUCAGUCAUCUUCAAGCCCAAGAAGGGCUUCAAGAAGGGUUGAUGAAUUGGCACAACCCAAAGACGGUUUUCAUUUUCUUCCAAGACUGGGAAAGAUGAGUGGGGCUACAUGGCAAGACCAGUGCCCCAUUGGUUGGGCACCAGUGUUUGGCCACAUAUCUGGAAAAUCCAGGCUAGCAUGGAAUUUCACAGACUUCUCCAAAAUUCCAGGGGCACUGAGUAUACUUGAUGGAUAUUUGCACUCACGACGCACCACCCUUAUGCCCUAGAAUCCGUUGGGCUGUUUCAGUGCAUCCUUCCCAGCCCUCCUGAGGCUUUGGUGUGCCUGGGAAUUUACAUUCCCCCUCCCAGCCCAGGAUCUGACCCCUCACCUUUUUUUUUCCACACUAACCAGGGGUUUAAUAGAAAUACAACCAGAACAGAAAAACUCAAAUCAUACAUAAAUCCAAACCAGAAUGCCAAGUGAUCAACACAAAGAGCAGAAUUUUUGACUCUUCAACUCAGUCAGCCCCCAAAUAAAAACCAACAAAGAUAGUGGAUCAAGAGAAUAGAGACAAAGAGUCACGUGAAGCUACAGGAGGAGAGUUGGGGAUGUUAUGUGUGUGUCACAGGGAACAGUCAAAGAAGACCCCAUGGUCAGGGCAGACCAUGGGCCAGGAUGGCCUAGCCGAUAGUGAGAGCCCACCUCCUUUGCCUGCCAAAUGGACAGCUCUGAGGAGGACUUCUACUCCAGAAUUGCCCUGUAGAAGGCAGCUGAAAGUCACCCUCUGGGGGUUUAGUCUGAAAUUGUACCCCUGACUGCCAUCCUCCCAGUUUUUGCCCUGCUUGCCCCGUUCUCUUGUGGUUUUCUCCUGGGAGCUCUUCCUUAGUCCAAUGUUGGGACACAAAUCUUUGUCUUACGGUCUGCUUCUGGGAAACCCUACCUAAGUCAGUGGUUCUUUCUGAAUGUGAGCCACAGUGGAGGGCAUGCUAGUGGUUAGGUCCUGCCUGUCUACUAGUCAACAUGUAGAGUGUUCUUUAAGCAGGACAAUCUUUUGCGAAAAGCCUCCCACCCAGAGACAUUAGUAGUUUCCCUCAUGGGCAUGGAAUUGGGUGGCCAGGACCUAGAACAAAGGCAGGUCCCUAGAUGAGCCCUAAAUAAACAUUGUUCCUGGUGGCCAUGGACUGGCCUCCAUCCUAGGCAAAGGAACCAGGCGAUAGGCAAGGUGAACGUGUAAAUAAUAAAGAGCUAUUGAAGGACCAAAUCCUAGGGUAAAAGCUAACAAAAGGAGUGACAGAGAUGGAGAGACUAAUAAUGGCGUACUUAUUAGAGAUGCUUCCUUGGGGAGCAGUGGUAGCUGUUGUGUCUCCAAAUCAGAAAGUUAUACCGCCAGCACCAUUCUACUCACUAUUGCUGUGUAACAAACCCCUCCCAAACUUAGUGGCUUAGAAUAACAGCAAUCAUUUAUUUUGCUUAUAAGUCUGCAAUUUGGGCAGGGCUCAAUGGGGACUGCUUAUCUCUGCUCCACGUGCUGGUGGCUUAGGUGGCUCAACUGGGGCUGGAAGGCUCACUUCUAGGAUGGCUCGUUCACGUGGCUGGCAAGUUGGUGUUGGAUUUCAGCUCCUUUCACAUGGAUCUUUUCACAGAGAAGAUUGAACUUCCUCACAGUAUGACAUCUAGCUUCCAAGAGCAACUGCCCUAAGAAUCAGGGAGUGGAAAUUGAUGGUUUAAGAUGUUAGCCUGGAAACUGGCACAGCGUCACUACUGCUGUAUUUUGUUGGUCAGUCACAGAGCCCAGAUUCAAGUGGAAGGGUCAACGACCCCAUCUAUCAAUGAAAGGAAUAUCAAUACAUUUUGCAGCCGUGUUUUUAAACUGCCACAAGCAUCUUCCAUCAAAUUGAGGCAGCUGGAAACCUGCGAGUCAUCUUUGCUGCCUCCAUUUCCUUUAUCCCUACGUUUAAUGCACCACUAAGACCUGUUUUUUAUUGUGGUAAAAUACACAUAACAUAAAAUUCACCAAUUUAUUUUUAAUUUUUAAAAAUUUUUAAAUUUUUGGUGAGGAAGAUUCACCCUGAGCUAACACCUGUGCCAAUUUUCCUCUGUUUUGUAUGUGGGAUGCCUCCACAGCAUGGCUGAUGAGUGGAGUAGGUCUGUGUCUGAGAUCUGAACCUGAGAACCCAGGCAACCAAGGAGGAGUUGGGAAAACUUCAACCACUCAGCCACGGGGCUGGCUCCAAAUUCACCAUUUUGAUAAUUUUAAAGUAUACAAUUCAGUGGCAUUUAGUACAUUUAUGACUUAAAUGUAAACCUUCACCAAUAUCUAGAUUCAGAGCAUUUCCAUCAUUCCAAAAAGAAACUCUGGAGCCAGCCCUGAUGGCCUAGUGGUGAAAGUUCAGCACACUCUCCUUCAGCAGCCCAGGUUCACUUCCUGGGUGCAGAACCACACCUCCCCGUCUGUCCAUUGCCAUGCUGUGGCAGUGGCUCACGCGGAAGAACUAGAAAGACUUACAACUAGAAUAUACAACUAUGUACUGGCGUUUGGGGAGGAAAAAUAGAGACAGAGAGAGAGAGGAAGAUUGGCAACAGAUGUUAGCUCAGAUCUAAUCUUUAAAAAAAAACACAACUCUGUAUCCAUUUGUUACUCCAUUCCUCCUACCCCCCAGCCCCUGGCCAUGACAAAUCUGCUUUCUAUCUCUGUGGAUUUGCCAAUGCUGGAUAUUUCAUAUGCUGGAAUCAUACAAUAUGCGGCCUUUGUGUUUGGCUUCUUCCACUUAGCAUAAUAUUUUCAAGGUUUAUCCAUGUUAUAACAUGUAUCAGUAUUUCAUUUCUUUGUAUUGCUGAGUAAUAUUCCAUCAUAUGGAUAUACCACAUUUUGUUUAUCCAUUUAUCAGUUGAUGACAUUUGAGUUGUUCCCACUUUUGGCUAUUGUGAGUAGUGCUGCUAUGAAUAUUUGUAUAUAAGUUUUUGUUUGAACACCUGAUUUCAAUUCCUUUGGGUAUAUAUCUAGGAGUAGAAUUGCUGCAUCAUAUGGUAAUUCCACGUUUAACUUAUUGAGGAACUCCCAUACUGUUUUCCAUAGUGGCUGCAUCAUUUCAACUUACCACCAACAAUGUAUGAGGGCUCCAAUUUUUCCACAUUCUCACCAAGACUUGUUAUUUUCUAUCGUGAGUGUAAAGUGGUAACUUGUGGUUUUGGUUUGCAUUUCCCUAACGACUAAUGAUGCUGAGCAUCUUUUCAUGCUUGGUCUGUUGGUCAUUUGUAUUUCUUCUUUGGAGAAAUGUCUGUUCAAGCCUUUGGACAUUUUUUAAUUGGGUUGUCUUUUUGUUGUUGACUUGUAAGAGUUUCUUGUAUAUUCUGGACACUAGACACUUCCCAGAUAUAUAAUUAAAAAUAUUUUUCUCCCAGUCUGUCAGUUGUCUUUUUUACUGUCUUUAUAGAGUUCUUUGGUAAAUAAAAGUUUUAAAUUUUGAUGAAGUCUAAUUUACUUUUUCUUUUGUUGCUGCUUUUGGUAUUUCUGAAAAUCCAUUGCCAAUUUUUUUUUAUUUUUUUGAGGAAGAUUAGCACUGAGCUAACGUCUGCUGCCAAUCCUUCUCUUUUUGCUGAGGAAUACUGGCUCUGAGCUAACAUUCAUGCCCAUCUUCCUCCACUUUAUAUGUGGGAUGCCUGCCACAGCAUGGCUUGAUAAGCGAUGUGUAGGUCUGCACUCAGGAUUAGAACCUGUUAAACCCAGGCUGCUGAAGCCAAACGUGCGAACUUAAGUCCUGUGCUACUGGGCUGGCCCCUCCAUUGCCAAAUUUAAGGUCAUGAAGACUUACUACUGUUUUCUUCUAACAGUUUUAUAAUUUUAGCCUUUAUAUUUAGGUCUUUGAUCUUUUUUGAGUCAAUUUUUGUAUAUGAUGUGAGGUAAGAGUCUGACUUCAUUCUUUCGUAUGUGGAUAUCCAGUUGUCCCAGGACCGUUUGUUGAAAAGAUGAUUCUUUCCUCAUUAAGUGGUCUUGGUACCCUUGUCAAAAGUCAAUUGCCCAUAGAUGGAUGGGUUUAUUUCUGGACUUUUAAUUCUAUUCCAUCGAUCCAUAUGCCUAUCCUUAUGCCAGUACCACACUAUUUUGAUUACUCUUAGCAUUGUAUUAACUUUUGAGAUUGGGAAGUGUGUAUUUUCCAAUAUUGUUCUUUUUGAAGAUUAUUUUGGCCAUUUGGGGUCCCUUAUAAUUUCACAUGAAUUUUGGGAUUGGCUUUUCCAUUUUGGCAAAAAAGACCACUGAGAAUUUGAUAGAGAUUGUGUUGACUCUGUGGAACGUCAGGGAGUAUUGUGAUGUUAACAAUAUUAAGUCUUCCAAUAAAUGAACACAGGAUGUCUGUCCAUUUGUUUAGGCCUUUAAUUUCUCUGAGCAAUGUUUUGUAGGAUUCAGUGUACAAUUCUUGUAUCUCCUUUGUUAAAUUUAUUCCUAAGUAUUUUAUCCUUUAGAUGCUAUUGUAACUGGAAUUGUUCUCUUAAUUUUCUUUUCAGAUUGUUUAUUGCUAGUGUAGAGAAAUACAACAGAUUUCUGUAUGUUGAUCUUGUAUCCUGUAACUUUGCUGAACUCAUUUGUUAGCUCCAAUAGUUUUUCAUCGAUUUUAUCUUAAAAAGAUUUAAUCUGGGGCCAGCCCGGUGGUGCAGCAGUUAAGUUCGCACGUUCCACUUCGGCAGCCCGGGGUUUGCCAAUUCGGAUCCCGGGUGUGGACAUGGCACCAUUUGACACGCCAUGCUGUGGUAGGCAGCCCACAUAUAAAGUAGAGGAAGAUGGGCACGGAUGUUAGCUCAGGGCCAGUCUUCCUCAGCAAAAAGAGGAGGACUGGCAGGUUAGCUCAGGGCUAAUCUUGCUCAAAAAAAAAAAAAGAUUUAAUCUUAUAUAGAUUUUCUCUAUAUUAGAUCAUGUUGUCUGUUAUCUGCAAGUAGAGAGAGUUUUACUUCUUCCUUUCCAAUCUGAGUGCCUUUUAUCUCUUUUUCUUGCCUUAUUGGACUGUCUAGAACUUACAGUACAGUGAUAAACGGAAGUGGAAAACGUGUUCAUCAUUAUCUUGUUCCUGAUUGAGAGGAAAGCUUUCAGUCUUUCACCAUUGAGUUUGUUAGCUGUGGGUUUUUCACAAAUAUGUUUGAUCACGUUGAGGAAAUUGCCUUUUUUCCUAGUUUGUUGAGUGUUUUUAUCACAAAAGGGUGUUCAAUUUAGUCAAAAAUUUUUUCUGUAUCAAUUGAAAUGAUCAUAUGAUAUUUUCUUUCAUUUUAUUAACGUGGUGCAUUAUAUUAGUUGAUUUUUAUAUGUUGAACUACCCUUGACAUCCUGGAGUAAAUCCUACUUGGUCUUGGUGGAUAGCCAUCUUAAUGUGCUGCUGCAUUCAGUUUGCUAGUAUUUUGUUAAGAAUUUUUGCAUCUGUAUCCACAAGGGCUAUUGGUCUGGGUUUUCUUUUGAUGGGUUUGGCUUUGGUACCAUGGUAAUGUUGGCCUUGUAGAAUGUUAGGAAGUAUUCUCUCCUCUUAAGUUUUUGGGAAGAUUUUGAGAAAGAUUGGUGUUAAUUCUUUUUUAAAGUUGGUUUGGUUGAAUUCAUCAGUGAAACCAUUUGAUCCUGGGCUUUUGUUGUUAUUGGGAAGUUUUUAAGUGUUGAUCCAAUCUCUUUACUGGUUAUAGGUCUGUUCAGAUUUUCUAUAUCUUCUUGAGUCAGUUUUGAUAGUUUGUGUGUUUUUAGGAAUUUCAUUUCAAUUCAUCUAGAUUAUCUAAUUUGUUGCUGUACAAUUUUUUAUAGUAGUCUUUUAUAAUCCUUUAUACUUGUGUAAUGUCCCCACUUUCAUUUAAGUUUUAGUAAUUUGAGUCUUCCUUCUGUUUUUCCUGGUCAGUCUAGCUAUAAGUUUAAUUUUGUUGAUAUUUUCAAAGAAUCAACUUUUGUUUUCAUUGAUUCUCUCUAUUGUUUUCCUAUUCUCUAUUUCAUUUAUCUCCACUCUAAUGUUUAUUAUUUCCUCCUUCUGCUAGUUUUUGGUUUAUCUGCUCUUCUUUUUUUUAGUUCCUGAACAUGUAAAGUUAGGUUGUUGAUUUGAGAUCUUAUUUUUUAAUGUAGGCAUUUACAGUUAUAAAUUUCCCUCUGAGAGCUCCUUUUUCUGCAUCCCAUAAGUUUUGGGAUCUUGUGUUUUAAUAUUCUUUUGUCUCAAAGGAUUUGCUAAGUCUCCUUGUGAUUUCUUCUUUGACCCAUUGAUUGUUUAAGAGUGUGUUGUUUAAUUUCUGCAUUUUUGUGAAUUUUCCAGCUUUCCUUCUGUUAUUGAUUUCUAGUUUCACUGCAUUAUUGCCUGAGAAGAUACUUUGUGGGUAAUUUCAACCUUUUAAAAUUUACUGAAACUUGUUUUGUGGCCUGACAUACGAUCUAUCCUUGUGAAUCUUCCAGGAACACUUGAAAAGAAUAUAUAUUAUGCUAUUGUCGAGGAGAGUGUUUUGUAUGUGUCAGUUAAGUCAUGUUGGCUUAUGAUGUUUUUCAAGUGCUCUCUUCCUUAUUGAUCUUCUGUCCAGUUGUUCUAGUCAUUGUGAAAGUGAGUGUAGUGAAAUCUCCAACUAUUAUUAUAGAAUUGUAUAUUUCUCUCUUCAAUUCUGUCAGUUUUUCUCUUGAAAUAUUUUGGGGCUCUGUUGUAGAUGUAUAUAUGUUUAUAAUUGUUAUGUCUUUUUGAUGGAUUGUAUCUUCAUCAUUAUAAAAUGUUCUCCCUUGUCUGAAGUAAAAAUUUUUGCCUUAAAAUCUAUUUUGCCUUAUUAGUAUAGCCACUGCAGCUCUCUUUUGGUUACUAUUUGCAUGGAUUAUCUUUUUUCCAUUCUUUCACUUUCAAUUUCCCUAUGUGUUUGGAUCUAAAAAGAGUCUCUUGUAGACAGCAUAUAGUUGGAUCAUUUAAAAAAUCCAUUUGGCCAAUCUCUGCCUUUUAAUUGAAAAGUAUAUUAGACAGCGUACUCCAGAGAAACAGAACCAACAGUAUAUAUAUAGUGGAGGCUUGGAAAGUCCAAAAUCUGAUGAAGUAGGCUGGUGGGCUGGAGACUCAGAAAAGAGUUGCCGUUUGAGUCCAAAGUCAGUCUGUUGGCAGAAUUCCUUCUUGGUCAGGUUCGAUCAGUCUUUGUUCUAUCAAGGCCUUUAAGUGAUUGGAUGAGGCCAACUCACACUAUGGAAGGUCAUCUGCUUUACUCAAAGUCCCCUGAUUUAAAUGUUAAACUCAUCCAAAAAAAUACGUUCACAGAAACAUCCAGAAUCGUCUUUGACCAACUAUGUGGGUACUGUGGCCCAGCCAAGUUGACACAUAAAAUGGACCAUCAGAAGUCCACUCCUUGUCAACUUGGCACUCAUACACAGCUCCUUAAAGAAUACUUAAUCUCCAAAUAAAGACAAUAACAAGGUCACACUUCUGCCUAACAUGAUAUAACUAUCCUGCGUACAACCCAAGACAUACUAACACUUUCCUCAGAAGAGAAUGGAAAAGUCCUUGGGUGAUGUUUACUCUUCUUGAUAUCCUGUAACUUAAAUCCUAUGAUAUAAAGUCAAUGCAUCUUGUAUUACAUGAUAAAGGGAUAAGAGAAGGAAGAAGGGCCAGCUCCGGGGCCGAGUGGUUAAAUUCACGCACUCCACUUUGCGGUGCCAUGUCCAUGCCUAGGAUCCAAACUGGCAAAGCUCUGGGCCACUGAAGCGGAGCUCGUGAACUUAACCACUUGGCCCCGGGGCUGGACCCGACAAAACAACCUUAUGUUGGAAGAAGAUGCCAUCUAAGACUUUCACAGCUAGAGAGGAGAAGUCAGUGCCUGGCUCCAAAGCUUCAAAGGACAGGCUGACUCUUUUAUUAGGGGCUAAUGCAGCUGAUGACUUUAAGUUGAAGCCAGCGUUCAUUUACCAUUGCGAAAAUCCUAGGGCCCUUAAGAAUUAGGCUAACUCUACUCUGCCUGUGCUCUAUAAAUGCAACAACAAAGCUUGGAUGACAGCAUAUUGGUUUACUGAAUAUUUUAAGCCCACUGUUGAGAGCUACUGCUCAGGAGAAAAGAUUCCUUUCAAAAUAUCACCGCUUGCUGACAGUGCACCUGGUCGCCCAAGAGCUCUGAUGGAAAAAUGUACAAUGAGAUUAAUGUGGUUUUCAUGCCUGCUAACACAACAUCCAUUCUGCAGCCCAUGCAUCAAGGAGUAAUUUUGACUUUCAAGUCUUAUCAUUUAAGAAAUACAUUUUGGAAGGCUAUAGCUGCCAUAGAUUGUCAUUCCUCUGACAGACCUGCCGAAGUAAAUUGAAAACCCUCUGGAAAGGAUCCACUAUUCUAGAUGCCAUUAAGAAGAUUCGUGAUUCAUGGGAAAAGGUCAAAAUAUCAACAUUAACAGGAGUUUGGAAGGAGUUGAUUCCAGCCCUCAGGGAUGACUGUGAGGGGUUCAGGACGUCAGCGGAGGAAGUAACUGCAGAUGUGGUGGAAACGGCAAGAGAACUAGAAGUAGGCGUGGAGCUGAAGACGUGACUGAACUGCUGCCAUCUCAUGAGAAAACUUUAAUGCAUGAGGAGCUGCCCCUUAUGGAUGAGCAAAGAAAGUGGUUUCUUGAGAUGGAGUCUACUCCUGGUCAAGAUGCUGUGAAGGUUGGUGAAAUGAAAACAAAGGAUUUAGAACAUGACAUAAACUUAGUUGAAAAAUCAGUGUCAGGGCUUGAGAGGAUUUUGAAAGAAGUUCUGUGGUGGGUAAAAUGCUAUCAAACAGCAUCGCAUGCUGCAGAGAAAUCGUUCAUGAAAGGAAGAGUCAAUCGAUGCGGCAAGUUUCAUUGUUGUCUUAUUUUAAGAAAUUGACACAGCCACCCAACCUUCAGCAACCACCACCUUGAUGAGUCAGCAGCCGUCAAUGUGGAGGCAAGACUCUCUGCUAGCAGAAAGAUUAUAACUUGCUGAAGGCUCAGAUGAUGGUUAGUAUUUUUUAGCAAAGUAUUUUUAAGUUAAGGUAUGUACAUAGUUUUUUUAGACAUAAUCUUAUUGCAUGCUUAAUAGACUACAGUAUAGUAUAAACAUAACAUUUUUUUCUAAACAACAGGUAUUACUAUCUCACAUUGUUUUUUAUGCUCUUUUGGUGAGGAAGAGUGGCCCUGAUCUAACAGCUGUUGCCAAUCUUCAUCUUCUAUUUUUCUCCGCAAAGCCCCAGUACAUAGUUGUAUAUCCUAGUUGUAAGUCCCUCUACGUCUUCUAUGUGGGAUGCCACCACAGCAUGGCUUGAUGAGGGGUGUGUAGGCCCCUGCCAAGGACCAGAACCAGCAAACCCUUGGCCACUGAAGUGGAGCACGGUGAACUUAAUGACUACACGACCAGGCUGUCCCUAAACAUAACUUUUGUAUGCACUGGGAAACCAAAAAAUUCGUGUGACUCACUUUAUUGUGAUAUUUGCUUUAUUGUGGUGGCCUGGAACCAAACCUGCAAUAUCUCUGAGGUAUGCCUGUAUAUCAAACUCUGCACUUAUAUUCCUCCUCUCCCCUUUAAGUAGUUAUUGUCAGAAAUUACAUCUUUUUUUUUUUUUUACAUUGUGUGCUGUUAACAUAUAUAUGUAAUUAUUUUUUGAAUUUGUCUUAUAAAUCAUAUGGAAAUAAAAAGAGAGUUACAAUCUCAGAAUUCAAUAAUACUGGCUUUAAAAAAAUUUUUUUAGUUUUUUAUUUCUUUG